GGAGUUAGCCGGUGCUUCUUCUGUGAGUGAUGUCCUUCCUGCCGGCUAUUAACCCGCAGGCCUUCUUCCUCACUGAAAGUGCUUUACAACCCGAAGGCCUUCUUCACACACGCGGCAUGGCUGGAUCAGGGUUGCCCCCAUUGUCCAAUAUUCCCCACUGCUGCCUCCCGUAGGAGUCUGGGCCGUGUCUCAGUCCCAGUGUGGCUGAUCAUCCUCUCAGACCAGCUACGGAUCGUCGCCUUGGUGAGCCGUUACCUCACCAACCAGCUAAUCCGACAUAGGCUCAUCCGAUAGCGCGAGGCCCGAAGGUCCCCCGNUUUCCCCCGUAGGGCGUAUGCGGUAUUAGCCUGGGUUUCCCCAGGUUAUCCCCCACUACCGGGCAGAUUCCUAUGCAUUACUCACCCGUCCGCCGCUCGCCACCAGGGAGCAAGCUCCCCGUGCUGCCGCUCGACUUGCAUGUGUUAGGCCUGCCGCCAGCGUUCAAUCUGACCAGAUCAAAUUCUGA
rnacentral:rRNA from 1 species